UUGUCUCUUUCUUCCUCUAGACUGUAUAUUCCAAGAGAGGAGGGACUAUAGCCCCAGAGUCCAGCAGGAAAACCAGUACAUGUGGAAUGAAGGAAACUGUGCUCAGAGCCUUGGCACAAACAGGGAAGGAGAGAAAAAGGACAGUAAACAACACCAUCAAGGAGGGCAGGGGUAAUUUCCUCCUAAAAUAGUUAAAUAGGAGUGGUGCAGAUUAGAGAUGGCCUCAAAAGCUUAAAGAAAGAAAAAAAAAAACAUGUAGAUUAUGUGGUUGGGAUCAAAGCACCCCUGAAAGUUUCUGAGAAAGAGCGUGUGGGGAAGAUGUANGAAAAAAAAACCAUGUAGAUUAUGUGGCUGGGAUCAAAGCACCCCUGAAAGUUUCUGAGAAAGAGCGUGUGGGGAAGAUGUAUUUUCAGCAGAUACUCAAGAACAGCACUAUCCAACAGAACUAAAGGCUGCUGGGGCUUUCACACGUCGAGCACAACCACGUUGGAGCUAGCGGCAGCGGCUGGUGACUACUGUACCGAACAACCCAGGUGGGGGCACAGAAGCCAUCCAGGAGUGAUCCAGGGUGACGAGAGCGCUGAACACGAUGACAGGGUUGAGAAUGGAGAGAAACCCAAGCGUGUGACAUUCCCCUGGCAGGAUUAGCAUGUCAGUUUGUCUGAGAGAGAGCCUUCACGCUGCUAACGUAUAUUUACACAUUUGGCCUUCAGUGUGCAUUGGAAAGGAGAAUCAGUUCACAUACAAGCUGUGAUUUUGUUUAUAUUUCCGUUCUCAGAGAUAGCUAUUUGUGAGUGAAACCUACCACCUUUCUCCAAGCCAUGAAAAUAGUGAAAAUACUUUCUGGAGGCUGAUUUCCCUAGUGUGGAAUGCAAGACUUGUAAAAUUCAAGCUUACUUGGUAGCAUUCAAGCCCAUUUUUAUGUACUAUGGGUCACAAUCAAUUCAAUUCCAUAAUCAUUGAAUGAGUUCCCACUAAUUGGAAGCUUGAGCUGCUGAGCAAUUAUCCUUUGCAGAAGAGUAAACAAAAGCAUAAUUUAUUAAUUUG
rnacentral:lncRNA from 1 species